rnacentral:tRNA from 1 species
GCGGGGCGAGUCGUCUGGGGACGACGCCGCCGUCACGAGGCGGACGAGCAGGGUUCGAUUCCCUGGCCCCGUA